rnacentral:tRNA from 1 species
AAGGCCUUAGCUUAAUUAAAGUAUCUGGGUUGCAUUCAGAAGAUAUGGGAUAAAAUCCCGUAGGUUUUA